rnacentral:ncRNA from 2 species
AGAAUAGAUUUUCUCCGAGUCAAUUAAGUCUAAGGCAUAAAGCUAUGGCUUAUGACCUGUAGGUAUUGAGGGAAACCUUAAUGUCUCCCGUGUUUGGAAAGGAGGACUGUUGUAUACUAU